rnacentral:rRNA from 1 species
GCGGACGGCUGAGUAACACGUGGGUGACCUGCCCUCGUAGCGGGGGAUAACUGCCCGAAAAGGGUGGCUAAUACACGCAAAUGUCUGGUCUUCGGUGAGCAGACUGAACCGUGAGGGUUCGAGGAGGGGCCCGCGGCCUGGAUUAGCUUGCUGGUGGGGUAACGGCCUACCAGGGCUGCGAUCGGUAGCUGGUCUGAGAGGAUGAUCAGCCAGACUGGGACUGCGAGACGGCCCAGACUCCUACGGGAGGCAGCAGUUAGUGAAUUUUGGGCAAUGGGCGAAAGCCUGACCCAGCAACGCCGCGUGGGUAUGAAGGCCUUCGGGUCGUAAAGCCCUUUUCCCAGGGACGAUGUCACGGUACCUGGGGAAUCAGCCCCGGUUAACUACGUGCCAGCAGCCGCGG